rnacentral:rRNA from 1 species
UAUCACUUACAGAUGGGCCCGCGGCGCAUUAGCUAGUUGGUGAGGUAACGGCUCACCAAGGCGACGAUGCGUAGCCGACCUGAGAGGGUGAUCGGCCACACUGGGACUGAGACACGGCCCAGACUCCUACGGGAGGCAGCAGUAGGGAAUCUUCCGCAAUGGACGAAAGUCUGACGGAGCAACGCCGCGUGAACGAUGAAGGUCUUCGGAUCGUAAAGUUCUGUUGUUAGGGAAGAACAAGUACCGUGCGAAUAGAGCGGUACCUUGACGGUACCUAACGAGGAAGCCCCGGCUAACUACGUGCCAGCAGCCGCGGUAAUACGUAGGGGGCAAGCGUUGUCCGGAAUUAUUGGGCGUAAAGCGCGCGCAGGCGGUUCCUUAAGUCUGAUGUGAAAGCCCUCGGCUCAACCGUGGAGGGUCAUUGGAAACUGGGGAACUUGAGGACAGAAGAGGAGAGUGGAAUUCCACGUGUAGCGGUGAAAUGCGUAGAUAUGUGGAGGAACACCAGUGGCGAAGGCGACUCUCUGGUCUGUUUCUGACGCUGAGGUGCGAAAGCGUGGGUAGCAAACAGGAUUAGAUACCCUGGUAGUCCACGCCGUAAACGAUGAGUGCUAGGUGUUAGGGGGCUUCCACCCCUUAGUGCUGAAGUUAACGCAUUAAGCACUCCGCCUGGGGAGUACGGCCGCAAGGCUGAAACUCAAAGGAA